rnacentral:rRNA from 1 species
UGGGGAAUUUUGGACAAUGGGGGAAACCCUGAUCCAGCCAUGCCGCGUGAAUGAUGAAGGCCUUAGGGUUGUAAAAUUCUUCCAGCAGGGAAGAUAAUGACUGUACCUGCAGAAGAAGCCCCGGCUAACUCCGUGCCAGCAGCCGCGGUAAUACGGAGGGGGCUAGCGUUGUUCGGAAUUACUGGGCGUAAAGCGCACGUAGGCGGACCAGCCAGUCAGAGGUGAAAGGCCAGGGCUCAACCUUGGAAGUGCCUUUGAUACUGUUGGUCUGGUGUUCGGGAGAGGUGUGUGGAAUUCCGAGUGUAGAGGUGAAAUUCGUAGAUAUUCGGAGGAACACCAGAGGCGAAGGCGACACACUGGACCGAUACUGACGCUGAGGUGCGAAAGCGUGGGGAGCAAACAGGAUUAGAUACCCCGGUAGUCC